rnacentral:rRNA from 1 species
CAUACGGCUCAGUAACGCGUAGUCAACCUACCCUAUGGACGGAAAUAACCUCGGGAAACUGAGAAUAAUAUCCGAUAGAACAUUAUGCCUGGAAUGGUUUAUGUUCCAAAUGAUUUAUCGCCGUAGGAUGGGACUGCGGCCUAUCAGUUUGUUGGUGAGGUAAUGGCCCACCAAGACUAUUACAGGUACGGGCUCUGAGAGGAGUAGCCCGGAGAUGGGUACUGAGACACGGACCCAGGCCCUAUGGGGCGCAGCAGGCGAGAAAACUUUGCAAUGUGCGAAAGCACGACAAGGUUAAUCCGAGUGAUUUCUGCUAAAGAAAUCUUUUGUUAGUCCUAGAAACACUAACGAAUAAGGGGUGGGCAAGUUCUGGUGUCAGCCGCCGCGGUAAAACCAGCACCUCAAGUGGUCAGGAUGAUUAUUGGGUCUAAAGCAUCCGUAGCCGGCUCUGUAAGUCCUCGGUUAAAUCUGUACGCUUAACGUACAGGCUGCCGGGAAUACUGCAUAGCUAGGGAGUGGGAGAGGUAGACGGUACUCGGUAGGAAGGGGUAAAAUCCUUUGAUCUAUUGAUGACCACCUGUGGCGAAGGCGGUCUACCAGAACACGUCCGACGGUGAGGGAUGAAAGCUGGGGGAGCAAACCGGAUUAGAUACCCGGGUAGUCCCAGCUGUAAACUAUGCAAACUCAGUGAUGCAUUGGCUUGUGGCCAAUGCAGUGCUGCAGGGAAGCCGUUAAGUUUGCCGCCUGGGAAGUACGUACGCAAGUAUGAAACUUAAAGGAAUUGGCGGGGGAGCACCACAAGGGGUGAAGCCUGCGGUUCAAUUGGAUUCAACGCCGGG